AAAAAAAAAGUUGUAAUAAACAUGUUUGUUUUUUUUUUUGGAUCAUGUGUCAUUAAAUAAUGCUUUUGCGCUUGUUUUUGAUAACUGUGGGAUUGCAGGAUGGAGACUGAAUGCCUGUUUAACUUUCUCCUCACUCAAGGGUAAGCCCAGCUUUCGUCUUGUGUUAUGAAGUCUGGCCAUGUAGAUAGCAGAAAAAUAAAAGUGAAAGUGUGACUUUAGAUACCAUAAGCAAGUUUUUGAAAAAAAUAACAACAAAACAAACAUCUUUUAAGCCACCAGGUCUCUUUGAAGGACACAGAUACGUUGCAUCUGAGAGAGUAAUUUUGCCAAAAACGCACAAGGAUCAGAAAAAGUUGACUUCAAAAAUAAAUAAAAGAAAGGGAACUCCACUAUCCAUUAAAAUAUUUUAAGCAUUUACAUUUACAGUGUUUCAUGAUAAAGUAACUUCAUUUUAGACAAAGGUAGGUAUAUCAUUGGGGCAAAGUAUUCACAGAUAAUUCCAGGCAGUUGACUUCAUAGGACUACAAGAACCCUUUCUGAAACCAGGCCAGCAAAAACAGGCAUUGGAAACUGUUUUUAUGAACAUGAAUGCUAGGUAGUUAAACAGAGUCAGGGCAGUGUCUUAUUACUCUUUCUUCAGAGCUUCUGUUAUAAAUUACUGCUUUAUUGUGGCUUACUAUCGUACUUGUUUGCAAUACCAUUUUUUUUCCUUAAAGAAAUAUGUCAUCAUCAUCUCUCACCUGUUCAUUGUAACUGCGUUUCUCAGCAUGUAUGCUAUAGCUUCUUGGCCUCAAUACCAUGUAUUCAGUUGUGUUGUCUUGUUUUCUAGAAUUUUUUAAAUGCUUAUAGUUUCAGCUUCACUAUGUUAUAUUUAGCAAUGCGUUACUAUGUGCUCUUACAAGACACCCAAAACAGCUCAUUGUCUUCUUGGUGUCAUGUGAUACCUUUUUAUUUUCAAGUGUGGUUUUCCGCUGUUGCAGGGACCUGUAUUACAUUGAUAUUGUUUAAUUUGUGUUUUUACAGGACUAGAGGGGAGCUGCUUUUCCUCUGAGUUUCAGGAAAACUAAAGAAAGCGUGGGAAACUGAGAUUGCAAAACUCUUGCCUUUUAGCUGGUUCUAGAAUGAAUCGUUCUUAGAAUCAUAAUUUUUUUAAAGGAAUAAUGUAAUGAUAGCUGAGUUCUUUAAGGAUGCAAGUGAAAGUAGGUUCUUCUUGUUGUUAUGGUGUUUUAUUUUUUAGUUGGACUUUUAUUAUUCCUUCUGCCAAAGUAUUGAGAUCUUAGCAUAUACCUGAUCAGUAUCAAUAUCUUGAUAUGUAUGAGGUCAUGCUGUAGAAAUGACUAAGAUUUUGAAUGUUUGGGGUGCUUUUUUGUAAGUCUUAAAUGCCUAUUUUUAUCUAGUUUAUAUGUUUUUUCCCCGAUUAAAGAUGUGGCUUACUAGAGGUUUUACAGGUUAUAACAUAAGGGAGACUUGCUUCUAAAGUUUUUGGACAUGUACUUGAAUCUCCCCCUGUACAAUGCAAAUAAAAAUGCUAAGCUGAAAGCUUUUAAAUGUAGAUGAAGUCAUGCUUCUUCGUCUGAGGCAUUCUUCCCAGUUAGCAAUAAGCCAUCGUCUGGCUUUUAUAAGAGAAGAAACACGCUUCAUCAUUUCUGGUAAAUCUUAAAAGUUGGUGUAAUUUUUGACACCAAUACUGUUAAGUAUUUAUUUUCAGAAGAAAGCCAGCCUGUCUGUGCCUUCCAUAGUUUGUGGCAGUAAAACUUGGGUUUGUUAAACUGAGUUUCUGGUGUUAGGGUGUCUGUGUGUUUCUUUCCUUUGCCUACAGUUCUAUUUACUGAUAUGUAGUUUUUAUGAAGACAUAUGUUAGGGCUACUUUUAUAGCUCUCUUUAUUAUCUGUAUUGAUGCUUCUUUUUUUUUCCCUGUCAUAAAGAAAGUCAAAAUCCUUUGAAAUUACAGCAGCAACAGCAUACCAUAGCUGUUGUGUAAUCUGUUGGCUAUAUCUGAAUCAGUCAGCACUUCCCGACAGAAUGCUAGCACUUACUUUAAAAUUUGUUUUCCAGUAUGUUAUUUGUGUGUAGAUAUUUUAAAUCAUUAGUUCAUACUAGGAUGCAAAUCUCUGCGAAGGGUGUCUCAGUUGCAAGAGACUAUGUGGAAGGCAGAUCUCCUGAUAAGGAAAUUUAUUUUAAUAAAUGAAGACUUUUAAUGAGGGGGGUGUGAGUUCUGCUCAUUACUCCACAGACUACCACAGAGAGGUAAUCGUUGUUUUAUCUGAUGCUUAAAAUGCUGACUUGCUUUACAAAGCUUAAUAAAAGUCAUAUGUGAUGAAUGGCGUUGCCAGUUCUGGGUUAACUUGGGCAAAAUUUAAAAUGGAUAACCAGAUGUACUUAGCUGUGAUGCUGAGUAAAUGUAAACAGGAUAAUAUAUUCUUUGAAAACCAAAUUAAUCUGUAACAGUAACAUUGACUGUGACCACAAUUUCACAACUGCUAAGCUGUUGAAAAAUCCUCCUGGUUGAAUAGGGAUAUAGAUGAUAUAAAAUCCAGUGUAAAUUUGGAGACAGUAAAUGGCACCAGAAAAGUUUAAAAUUUGUAUUGGUAAAUUUGAGAUUUAAGACUGGAUCAACAAUAGCAUCUGGUUGUAGUAAUUUCAAUCCAGUACUAAAAUUCAGUUUUACUUUAUCCCAAAACCUCAGUUGAUAAACAAAAAAAAAUCUGUCUUGAGUUAUAUUCUUUCCAUAUCUAUAUAUUCUUGGAAGUUACCUAUCCAAAGACCAGUCUUGUAUAAAAGUAGUAAUGCCUUCUGUGGCAAUAACUGUUCAGAUUUGCAAUGUAUGGGUUCUUAAUUCCGGCCAUUCACUUCUAAUCUUGUAAUGCCAGCCGUCUGCAGCAUCUGAGGUUACGAACAGGGAAGAUUCACGAUUUGUAGACAGGAGUGAAGAUGUUGAUAUCCUAUUAAAUUGCUGGCAGGUGUUUUUUUUUUUUUUCUCCCUUGACUACCUAUCCUGAAAAACAUAAUUGUAAUGAGCUCUGUCCUGACAAGACCUCAGUAGCAACAAGCUUUACUUGGAGUUGCCUUAAAAGAAAUCUCCCAGAGUUCAGCAACUGGAAAGCAUGGCACAAUGAGUUGUGAGCUGUAUUCUGAUGUGUUAUUUUUUGGAGAUGUACUUCUUUCUUCCUUCCCUCUUUCUAUCAACAACUGUUUCAAGUUAUUUCAUUAUUCUUUGAAGAUAGUAUCUAUUACUGCUGGCAUUUCAAUGACAUACAAGUGUUAAUCCUCUUCUGUUCUCAGUCUUAAUGGGUCAAUAAUUUAACAAGCUCACAUGAAUAUGACUUGGGUUUUGGUGGUUAAUAGUUUGAGAUUUUUUCAUAUUACUGUAGUGCAUUCUCUCCUUUCCCCCCAGCAAACUGCCUGUAAAGUCGGAAAUAAAGCAAGUGAUUUCAGAUGCAACACCAGAAUUUGGAACUCUUCAAAUUUACGUCAGCCAGGAAAUUAUAGUUUUGCAGAUGGAAAGCUUUCAGAAGGAAAUGGAAAGAUGAACCACAAGAGAUGUGGUAUAGGGGUCAAAGCACCAAGACACAGACAAAUAUUUUCAGUUACUAACCCAGGUCCUGCUUUUUUUCUUUUCUUAAGCUUAAGUAAAAUUUUAUGUCUGGACUUUAGAUUUAUUAAAAUGGAAAAGCAGUGUUGACUUGCUGUAAUGGAUUAUUUUGAGAAUUAAUAUUAAUCAAAAGAGGUUUUAAUGUUAUACUUACUAGUCAAAUUAUGCCAAAUAAUGCUUUUGAUAAUGUGUGAAUUUUAAAUGACAAUGUCAUUGAAACGACUACAUUUUGAGCAAGUUAAGUUGGCAGGAGGGAUCCUGUGUCCUUAUGAACCUGAGCUUUGUUUUAAAUGUAUAUUUUAAUUAUUACCAAUAAAACGUUAUUGCUUGACCAUGCAUUGUUGAGCUGUUCUUACAAUACCCAGUGUUACAAAGCUCGCAGUACUACGGAGGUAUAGAGGAUAGUGCUUUUCCACCAUUUUUUUUCCCCAUGGGCAGGUGUACAUGUUUGCAUUUUCUAGGUGUACAUGUUUGCGUUUUCUGUAUGGAGUAUCAGUACUGGUAAGUGUUAUCAUUGCAGCCUACUGCUACCAUUUGUCUAAUGAAAAAUGGUAGAAGGAGUUAAUUGAGCUCCUGAAAACUGUCUUUUCGAGCCCUGCUUGUCUUUCCCCCAUGGGAAGAUGGGCAAGAUGCAUGCUCUUGUUUGUGCCUCAAAUUCUGGAAGUUCCUGGUCAGGUUGCUACUAGCACUGAUUACCCCCAAGCAAGCAAUUUGUGUUUAGUUUAUGAGUGACUAAUGGGUUUGCAGAAGUUCUGAAUCCCUGAACGCAUGAGUUGCUUCAGCUCUCUCGACCUUUCCGCCAGAAGCGUCCCGGUAGGAUAAAGAAGGCUGGCAGCAGCGCUCUCCUUCCCUCCC